AUUGAACGCUGGCGGCAGGCUUAACACAUGCAAGUCGAGCGGGGGAAGGUAGCUUGCUACCGGACCUAGCGGCGGACGGGUGAGUAAUGCUUAGGAAUCUGCCUAUUAGUGGGGGACAACAUCUCGAAAGGGAUGCUAAUACCGCAUACGUCCUACGGGAGAAAGCAGGGGAUCUUCGGACCUUGCGCUAAUAGAUGAGCCUAAGUCGGAUUAGCUAGUUGGUGGGGUAAAGGCCUACCAAGGCGACGAUCUGUAGCGGGUCUGAGAGGAUGAUCCGCCACACUGGGACUGAGACACGGCCCAGACUCCUACGGGAGGCAGCAGUGGGGAAUAUUGGACAAUGGGCGGAAGCCUGAUCCAGCCAUGCCGCGUGUGUGAAGAAGGCCUUAUGGUUGUAAAGCACUUUAAGCGAGGAGGAGGCUACUUUAGUUAAUACCUAGAGAUAGUGGACGUUACUCGCAGAAUAAGCACCGGCUAACUCUGUGCCAGCCGCCGCAGUAA
rnacentral:rRNA from 1 species